rnacentral:rRNA from 1 species
GAUGAACGCUGGCGGCGUGCCUAAUACAUGCAAGUCGAGCGCACGGACUUGGAGCUUGUUUCUCUGAUGUUAGCGGCGAACGGGUGAGUAACACGUGGAUAACCUACCUAUGAGACUGGGAUAACUUCGGGAAACCGUAGCUAAUACCGGAUAAUAUUUUGAACCACAUGGUUCAAGAGUGAAAGACGCUCUUGCUGUACCUUAUAAAUAGCCCGCGCCGUAUUAGCCAGUUGGGAAGGUAAAGGCUUACCAAGGCAACGAUGCAUAGCCGACCUGAGAGGGGGAUCGCCCACACUGGAACUGAGACACGCUCCAGACUCUUACGGGAGGAAGCGGUGGGGAAUCUUCGGCAAAGGGCGAAAGCCUGACGGAGCAACGCCGCGGGAGUGAUGAAGGUCUUCGGAUCUUAAAACUCUUUUAUUAGGGAGGAACAUAGGUGGAAGUAACUGCGCACCUCGUGACGGUACCUAAUCAGAAAGCGACGGCUAACUACGUG